rnacentral:rRNA from 1 species
GACAGAGGCCCCAAGCGUUAGGCGGAAUCACUGGGCUUAAAGCGUGUGUAGGCGGAUCGUUAAGUGUCUUGUGAAAUCCCACGGCUCACCCGUGGAACUGCUGGGCAUACUGGCGAUCUUGGGCCAACUAGGGGCAGCCGGAACAAGCGGUGGAGCGGUGAAAUGCGUAGAUAUCGGAAGGAACGCCGGUGGCGAAAGCGACGUGCUGGACCUCUUCUGACGCUGAGGCGCGAAAGCUAGGGGAGCAAACGGG